CCGGGAGCAUUGAUUUUGAGAUUGCAAACUAGUUUUAGUGGGUAAUGCAAGGCACUUGUAUUGGUUCGAACCCCGAGCGCACGCCAACAGACAACACAAGGCGGUGUGGAGCAACACGCUGUUUUAAUAAGCGCCCGAGCGCCGGCGGGCUGAGGCCUAAAAUGGCGUCAGCCCGAAACGGGGACGGGGCAGGGGUUUUAUAGUCUCCUGUUAACAGGACGUGUCUGACGUAACUGCUACGCUUACCCAGACGGCCUCUCUCUUGGUCUUCGGCGGGUACGUGUCUUCCGGCCAGCUCUCUUCCGCUUCUGCUGUCUUGAUGACGCACAGUGCUGGCGCAAGUCGUCUUGCGCCAGGCGACUGGGUCUGAGGAGGCAGGAGUUAUUCAUUCCCUUAAGCUUUCAGGCCGGGGGGAGAAUCUUUCAGGUGGUAGCUGCAAGAACUCUUAGUAUGUUGACCUCACCUCUGCCUUCCACAUACCACUACCAGUGAGGAAUUAGGAAUGCAUGAGAAGAGUGUCCAAGAAGAGUGUCCUCAUUCAUGCAAGGCUUAAGAGAGAAUGCAGGUCAACAUCACCAUGUCAAUCAGAGAAUACUUCUGUUGGGUUGAAUGACUCUCUGCCCCCAGGUGCAGAUGCUGAGAGCACUUUCUAGUCAAGUCCUGCAUGUUCAUUUCUGUCUCAAGUCAGCUUCUCUGAGAAUCCAAUUUAUAAAAAUAUAUUUGUGAAUGUAUAAGUAAAGUGACUUGGAUUUUGUCUACGUACAAGGACUUCUAUGCCUGCAUAAAACAGUCUGACUGGUUGGAAGAGGCCCUUUUCCCAGCCUUUGUAGUGUUUUGCUGCUACAUGAAGGUGCACAUGUCUGGGAAGGCUCAGGAAUGGAUGUUGACAUCAUGUCAUAAACCCCUAUUGUGGUUUCAGUCAUUUGUGGAAUGGUUGCAGAUGGCGAUCAACUGAAGAACGGAUUUGUGGCGUUGUUGGUCUCACCAUGUGAUACAUUGGCUCCCAGUCACCUUCUGCCAUGAUUGUAAGCUUCCUGAGGCCCUCACCAGAAGGUGAACAGAUGCUGGCACUAUGUUUCCUGUACAACCUGUAGAACCAUGAGCUGAUAAAAC
rnacentral:lncRNA from 10 species